CAAAAGUCGUGCACGCCGGAGCAUGUCCUCUCUCUCACAUAAAAUCCAUCUCACCCUUUUGUGCACCACCGCGCGGGCACCCUUUGGGAUGCUUGCGUUUUCACACAAACCCCUUUUAAAAAAGUGUAGAAUGACCCCACUUUGCGAUGACACGCAAUCAAUACAACUUUCAACAACGGAUCUCUUGGCUCUCGCAUCGAUGAAGAACGCAGCGAAAUGCGAUACGUAAUGUGAAUUGCAGAAUUCAGUGAAUCAUCGAAUCUUUGAACGCACCUUGCGCCCCUUGGUAUUCCGAGGGGCACACCCGUUUGAGUGUCGUGAAAAUCUCAACCUUCUCGGUUUUCUUCUGGACACCGAAGGAGGCUUGGACUUUGGAGGCCUUUGCUGGCGUCUCUCUAGAGCCAGCUCCUCUUAAAUGAAUUAGCGGGGUCCUCUUUGCCGAUCCUUGACAUGUGAUAAGAUGUUUCCAUGACUCGGUUUCUGGCUCUGUUGCAUUUGGGACCUGCUUCUAACCGUCUCGACGAGACGAUGUUUGGGAGUGUCUCCCUUCUCGGGAGACUCUCUCGACCCCACGAACC
rnacentral:rRNA from 1 species